AAGUCGUAACAAGGUUUCCGUAGGUGAACCUGCGGAAGGAUCAUUAAAAAUUUGAUUUUUAAUUUAAUCCAUAUUUAUAUUAAACCCUUUUAAAUUUAAUUUUUAACUGGGCGAUAAAAAUUGAUCCGAUAUAUGCCAAUUUAAAGAAAAAUAAAGAACUACCCCUAAUAUAUCAUGUGUAGAAUAAAAUACCAUAAAACAAAACUUAUUUAUUAUAAAUUCAAAUAAAAAGAAUUACAUUGACCUAUUUUUAAAAUAAAAAAACAUUAUAUAUAAAAUAACUUUUAACAAUGGAUCUCUUGGCUCUU
rnacentral:misc_RNA from 1 species